UCUUCAGGAAAUUCGAAACCCUUCGACUGCGUAGCGAAGUUUAGAGGUCGUCGUAGUCGAGGGUAAGCUUUUGAUACGUCCUAGUGCAGUUUUUUCUAUUGAAAUUAAGCGUUUGGUUUCAUUGUAUUCGAGUGGUCACUCAAUUGGAAUUGAGAAAUUGAGUUUGAUUGUGGGAAAUUGAUUGCCGAUUUUAGGUACUGUUCAC
rnacentral:lncRNA from 1 species